GGGAAGUGCCUCGCAAGAGGAGCCUGGAGACAGGUGCUGCAUGGCUGUCGUCAGCUCGUGUCGUGAGAUUGUUGGGUUAAGUCCCCGCAACGAGCGCAACCCUUGUCUUUAGUUGCCAUCAUUCAGUUGGGCACUCUAAAGAGACUGCCGGUGUCAAACCGGAGGAAGGUGGGGAUGACGUCAAGUCCUCAUGGCCUUUAUGACCAGGGCUACACACGUACUACAAUGGCCGGUACAAAGGGCAGCCACUUAGCGAUAAGGAGCCAAUCCCGUAAAGCCGGUCUCAGUCCGGAUUGGAGUCUGCAACUCGACUCCAUGAAGUUGGAAUCGCUAGUAAUCGCAGAUCAGCACGCUGCGGUGAAUACGUUCCCGGGCCUU
rnacentral:rRNA from 1 species